ACCACAAUUGUGUUUUCAAUUCCACAGCAUCAGUUUUCUCUACGACGAGGAGAAAAAACCCACUCUUUUGAAAUGCGAGUCAUUUGUAAUGCUACGUGCAGAAGAUUCUGGUGUCGUGAUCUUUCACUUUUGCCCUGCAUCUAAUACUGAGGAUCAUUCAGCCACGAUGAAACCAGCUGGAGGAAAUUCUCUCCUUCAAGACACGAAGGCCAAUGACGGAUAGUGCUCUCCUGAACCAUAACUCCCCAUGGUUACUUCUUCCUGAGACCAGACUCUUGGUGCAUGUAAUGAGCUGUGUCACAAAGCAAGAAUGACGCCAGGUCCAGAAACCUCUGAACAAGACUUCAGCCCAGAGUGAUCACACUGCUCCAUAGCAAGUGCCGUAAGGAUCCUUCAGAAGAGGAAGUUCCACUCAGGCACAAAAGACAAAAAAGAUGGAGCAAGAUUAAGAUGGUUUUUGGAUACCUACAGUUCUACAAGGAGCCUGCAGCCAGUCUGUCACAGUGCCUCCAGUAAAGGUGUUCUCCAGCUCUUCGGCAUCUAGGGGAAGGAACAGCUAUCUCAUCAGCUUCUCCGAAGGAAAUGCCUUUUUAAUGGAUCCAAGUCUCCAGCAGGACUCAAAGCAGCAAGGCAAUAAAGUCAGAAGUGUUUGUAGAAGGAAACUGCACUAAAACUGCUGGCAUCAGGUAUCUUGGAAAGGAAGACUGCUGACCCAUCGAGAUGCUGUACCAACCUCAUCCCUCCCUCCUGCUAUACACACUUGGCCGAUGCACAUAUUCGUACCCUCAUUCUAACCCCACCAACCACUGAAUUCCUUUCCAGCCCUCCCCCUCCUGCACCACCUGACCCACAAGAUUUUACACUGGAAAAUCAUAGAAUAGAAUUGCAAGACAUUUUGGCUG
rnacentral:lncRNA from 7 species